rnacentral:rRNA from 1 species
UUGACAUCCAGAGAACUUGGCAGAGAUGCCUUGGUGCCUUCGGGAACUCUGAGACAGGUGCUGCAUGGCUGUCGUCAGCUCGUGUUGUGAAAUGUUGGGUUAAGUCCGCAACGAGCGCAACCCCUAUCCUUUGUUGCCAGCGAUUCGGUCGGGAACUCAAAGGAGACUGCCGGUGAUAAACCGGAGGAAGUGGGGAUGACGUCAAGUCAUCAUGGCCCUUACGAGUAGGGCUACACACGUGCUACAAUGGCGUAUACAAAGAGAAGCGACCUCGCGAGAGCAAGCGGACCUCAUAAAGUACGUCGUAGUCCGGAUUGGAGUCUGCAACUCGACUCCAUGAAGUCGGAAUCGCUAGUAAUCGUAGAUCAGAAUGCUACGGUGAAUACGUUCCCGGGCCUUGUACACACCGCCCGUCACACCAUGGGAGUGGGUUGCAAAAGAAGUAGAUAGCUUAACCUUCGGGAGGGCGUUUACCACUUUGUGAUUCAUGACUGGGGUGAAGUCGUAACAAGGUAGGCGUAGCGAG